rnacentral:rRNA from 1 species
AGAGUUUGAUCAUGGCUCAGAUUGAACGCUGGCGGCAUGCCUUACACAUGCAAGUCGAACGGCAGCGCGGGAGCAAUCCUGGCGGCGGGUGGCGAACGGGUGAGUAAUAUAUCGGAACGUGCCUUAGAGUGGGGGAUAACUAGUCGAAAGACUAGCUAAUACCGCAUACGACCUACGGGUGAAAGUGGGGGAUCGCAAGACCUCAUGCUCUUAGAGCGGCCGAUAUCUGAUUAGCUAGUUGGUGGGGUAAAAGCCUACCAAGGCGACGAUCAGUAGCUGGUCUGAGAGGACGACCAGCCACACUGGGACUGGGACACGGCCCAGACUCCUACGGGAGGCGGCAGUGGGGAAUUUU